AUGAGUGGAGGAUCUCAAGUCCACAUUUUUUGGGGUGCUCCAGUUGCUCCACUGAAAAUGACAGUAUCACAAGACACAGCUUCUUUAAUGUCCGUUGCUGACCCUUGGAAAAAAAAAUUCAGCUUUUAUACAGUCAACAUUCUUUAUAUCUGAAGGAUGAAAAACAGCACAAAAAUCUUGAAAACUAUGAAGUCCCAGAAUCUAUUGGUCCUCCAGAUCUUAGUGGUCAUUUCUUAGCAAACUGUAUGAAUAGACAUGUUCAUGUGAAAGAUGACUUUGUACAUUCUGUUUCUGAAACACAGAAUAUAGAAUCCCAGAAGAUUCACUCCUCUAGACUGAGUAAUAUAACUAGCUCUAAUAUGCAAAUAUGUGGAUUUAAAAGCACAGUUCCGCAUUUAACCAAAGAAGAAAAGUAUCAAAAGCUUCUCAGUGAAAAUAAAAUUAUAGAUGAACAGCCUAAACAUCAGUCAGAUAUAUGUGGUCAGAACUUUAACGCAAGUUUGUUUCAGCUAGGCCAUAAAUGUGCAGCUAUGUUGGAUUUGGUUUGUAGUGCUGAACAAAUUAAUAUAGGGCCUGAAGUGGUACAAACAGAGUGUGUGCCAGCGGAAUAUCAUGAAAUACAAAACCAGUGUUUGGGAUUAUUUUCCUCGAACGCAGUAGAUAAGUCAAGGUCUGAAGCAGCAGUUAGGAAGGUCUCAGACCUUAAAAUAUCAACUGAUACAGAAUUUCUCAGUAUAAUUACCUCCAGCCAGGUUGCUUUUUUAGCUCAAAAGAAAGAUAAAGGGCGGAGUCCUAUAAAUAAAGGGAAUGUAAACAUGGAGGCUGAACCAAAGGCAAGUUAUGGGGAGAUAAGAAUACCUGAAGAGAAUUCGAUUCAGCUUGAUGGUUUUACAGAAGCAUAUGAAAGUGGACAAAACCAAGCAUAUUCCCUUGAACUUUUUAGUCCUGUUUGUCCUAAAACAGAAAAUAGCCGCAUUCACAUAAACUCUGAUAAAGGUCUUGAAGAACAUACAGGAUCUCAAGAACUUUUCAGUUCUGAAGAUGAACUGCCACCAAAUGAGAUACGUAUUGAGUUGUGUAGCUCAGGAAUAUGUGUUCCCAACUAAAUACCUUCCACAAAAGUGCUAUUAAAAGAAGCUGCACCUCUGAAGAUAAAGUGGGCCAGUCUGAAGCUCUAUCUAGAGUCCUUCAAGUAGCUAAGAAAAUGAAGUUGAUUUCUAAUGGAGGAGAUUCUGCUGUAGAAAUGGAUCGGAGGAAUGUGUCUGAAUUUAAGGGUAUUAAAAAAACAUCAUUAAUAAAAAACUGUGAUUUUAAAAGCCAGAAGUAUAAUUGUUUAGUCAUGGUGCUAUCUCCAUGCCAUGCGAAGGAAAUAAACAUAAAAUUUGGACCAAAUUCUGGCUCUAAAGUGCCUUUAGCAACAGUUACAGUAAUUGAUCAAUCAGAAACUAAGAAGAAGGUUUUCUGUGGAGGACUGCAGCAUUUUGGGCAUUUACAGUGCUUCUUGGAGAUAUAAUUUUACUCACAGAUGUUGUUAUUCAUGAGGACCAAUGGGUUGGUGAGACAGUACUACAAUCAACAUUUAGCAGUCAGUUAUUAAAUCUUGGGAGUUAUUCAUCUAUUCAGCCUGAAGAAUAUUCCAGUGUAGUUAGUGACGUUGUACUUCAAGACUUACUGGCAUAUGUGUCCUCAAAACAUUCCUACCUCAGAAAUCUUCCUCCGAGGCAGCCUCAGAGGGUGAACAGUAUAGACUUUGUAGAAUUGGAGCACCUUCAACCUGAUGUAUUAGUCCACGCAGUACUAAGAGUUGUUGAUUUCACUAUACUGACAGAGGCAGUAUACAGUUAUAGAAGACAGAAGCAGAAAAAAGUUAACAGUGGAAGAGGCCCAAGAUCAACAUUAUGUGCUUGUAUUAUGGGGUCCUGGAGCAGCCUGGUACCCUCAACUUCAAAGGAAAAAAGACGCAGAAGACAUGUGGCAUCACUUCCACCAAAUUCCGUUCAUCAGAAGUGAGUUUAGCUGCGCGUUGGAGAGUGGAUUAGAAUGAAGCUAGUGCAGAGAAGAGGCCAGUGUUAAUGACUGUCGUUGAUGGAAGACAUGAUGUUUGCAUCCGUGUAGAAUCAAAGCUGAUAGAGAAGAUUCUUCUCAACAUUUCUGCUGACUGCCUCAACAGAGUGAUAGUUCCUUCCUCAGAGAUCACCUAUGGGAUGGUCGUGGCAGACCUGUUCCACUCCUUGUUGGCAGUCAGUGCAGAACCUUGUGUACUGAAGAUUCAGAGCCUUUUUGUGUUAGAUGAAAACAGCUAUCCAUUACAAGAUUUCUCCCUCCUGGAUUUUUGUCCUGACAUUGUAAAGCAUGGAGCCAAUGCCCAUCUCUGAGACCAGAGGAAGAAAUUGCAGGCAUUUCAAGGAAGAAGUACUGAAAUGAUUUGUCUUUUGAAAUAAAUGAAUGACAGGGCUUUUGCUUUGGAUUUUUUAUGAAAUA